rnacentral:rRNA from 1 species
CUAUGCGCCUUGCCAGCCCGCUCAGGUGUGCCACAGCCGCGGUAAUACGUAGGGGGCAAGCGUUAUCCGGAUUUACUGGGUGUAAAGGGGGCGCAGACGGCGAUGCAAGCCAGGAGUGAAAGCCCGGGGCCCAACCCCGGGACUGCUCUUGGAACUGCGUGGCUGGAGUGCAGGAGGGGCAGGCGGAAUUCCUGGUGUAGCGGUGAAAUGCGUAGAUAUUAGGAGGAACACCAGUGGCGAAGGCGGCCUGCUGGACUGCAACUGACGUUGAGCUCGAAGGCGUGGGAGCAAACAGG